rnacentral:rRNA from 1 species
ACCUAGUCCCACCACACCCCCAAGGGUAUUCAGCAGUGAUAGAUAUUGUCUAUAAGCGCUAGCUUGACCCAGUUAUAGAGAAGAGAGCCGGCCAACUUGGUGCCAGCCGCCGCGGCUAGACCAACUGGACUCAAAUUGAUAAUCCCCGGCGUUAAGCGUGAUUAAAGCCAUGAACAAAUUAGAGUUAAACCUACGUUGAGCAGUGAAAAGCACACGAUAGGGAGAUCCAAAAACGAAAGUUAUUCUAAUCCUUGCUUGAAUACACGACAGCUAGGGCACAAACUGGGAUUAGAUACCCCACUAUGCCUAGCCGUAAACUAUUAACCUACACCCACCCGCGCCAGGGAACUACGAGCUUUAGCUUAAAACCCAAAGGACUUGACGGUGUCCCACCCAACUAGAGGAGCCUGUUCUAUAAUCGAUGACCCCCGCUCCACCCAACCCCCCCUUGCUUUAUCAGCCUGUAUACCUCCGUCGUAAACCCGCCGUAUGAAUGUACCCAAGCGGAUUUAAUGGUCCCACACCAACACGUCAGGUCAAGGUGCAGCCAAUGGGAGAGGUAAGUGAUGGGCUACAAUUUCUAGUCUAGAACAAACGAAAUUCUGCAUGAAACACAGUUAUGAAGGAGGAUUUAGUAGUAAAAAGAAAGUAGCGUGUUCUUUUUAACAUGGCCCUGGGACGUGUACACA